GAUAAACGCUAGCGGCAGGCUUAACACAUGCAAGUCGAGGGGCAGCAUAGAUUGUAGCAAUACAAUUGGUGGCGACCGGCGCACGGGUGCGUAACGCGUAUGCAACCUACCCGUCACAGGGGGAUAAUCCGGAGAAAUCUGGUCUAAUACCCCAUAACAUAUGGAUCGGCAUCGGUUCAUGUUGAAAUUUUCGGAGGUGACGGAUGGGCAUGCGUAGCAUUAGCUUGUUGGUGAGGUAACGGCUCACCAAGGCGACGAUGCUUAGGGGGACUGGGGGGUUUUCCCCCCACGCUGGUACUGGGACACGGACCGGACUCCUACGGGAGGCAGAAGUGAGGAAUAUUGGUCAAUGGGCGCAAGCCUGAACCAGCCAUGCCGCGUGCAGGAUGACGGCUCUAUGAGUUGUAAACUGCUUUUGUACGAGGGUAAAGUGGGUUACGUGUAACCUUUUGAAAGUAUCGUACGAAUAGGGAUCGGCUAACUCCGUGCCAGCAGCCGCCGUAA
rnacentral:rRNA from 1 species